rnacentral:rRNA from 1 species
AGAACGAACGCUGGCGGCAUGCCUAACACGUGCAAGUCGAACGAGACCUUCGGGUCUAGUGGCGCACGGGUGCGUAACGCGUGGGAAUCUGCCCUUGGGUUCGGGAUAACAGUUGGAAACGACUGCUAAUACCGGAUGAUGUCUUCGGACCAAAGAUUUAUCGCCCAAGGAUGAGCCCGCGUAGGAUUAGCUUGUUGGUGAGGUAAGAGCUCACCAAGGCGACGAUCCUUAGCU